GCCGGCUUAGCUCAGUUGGUAGAGCAACUGAUUUGUAAUCAGUAGGUCUCCGGUUCGAAUCCGGAAGCCGGCU
rnacentral:tRNA from 1 species